UGAGUCAGCUGGGCAAUUGCUGUUUGUUUUUACUCUUGGAGUGAGAGCAGGGGGAGGAAAGUCCGGGCUCCAUAGAGCAGGGUGCCAGGUAACGCCUGGGAGGUGUAAACCUACGGCUAGUGCAACAGAAAGCAUACCGCCAGCUCAUUUUUGAGCAGGUAAGGGUGAAAUGGUGCGGUAAGAGCGCACCGCGCGACUGGCAACAGUACGUGGCAAGGUAAACCCCACCCGGAGCAAGGCCAAAUAGGAAUCUUAAAGUGUUGCUCGCAUUGGAUUCGGGUAGGCCGCUUCAAGUCUGCGGUGACGCAGGCUGCAGAUGAAUAAUUGUCCUCGACAGAACCCGGCUUAUAGGCUGGCUCACACU
rnacentral:RNase_P_RNA from 1 species